rnacentral:rRNA from 1 species
GUUUGAUCCUGGCUCAGGACGAACGCUGGCGGCGUGCCUAAUACAUGCAAGUCGAACGCGUCUCCGUUAAUGAUUUUAGGUGCUUGCACUUGAAAGAUUUAACAUUGAGACGAGUGGCGAACUGGUGAGUAACACGUGGGUAACCUGCCCUUGAAGUAGGGGAUAACACUUGGAAACAGGUGCUAAUACCGUAUAACAACCAAAACCACCUGGUUUUGGUUUAAAAGACGGCUUCGGCUGUCACUUUAGGAUGGACCCGCGGCGUAUUAGCUUGUUGGUAAGGUAACGGCCUACCAAGGCGAUGAUACGUAGCCGACCUGAGAGGGUAAUCGGCCACAUUGGGACUGAGACACGGCCCAAACUCCUACGGGAGGCAGCAGUAGGGAAUCUUCCACAAUGGACGAAAGUCUGAUGGAGCAACGCCGCGUGAGUGAUGAAGGGUUUCGGCUCGUAAAACUCUGUUGUUGGAGAAGAACAGGUGUCAGAGUAACUGUUGACAUCUUGACGGUAUCCAACCAGAAAGCCACGGCUAACUACGUGCCAGCAGCCGCGGUAAUACGUAGGUGGCAAGCGUUGUCCGGAUUUAUUGGGCGUAAAGCG